AAGACAGAAUCGAAGCAAUGUCAAAACUUUUGGAUGAAGCAAAGUAUUUGACAAAUAUGGAACAAUUGAAAAUAUUCUUGCAGGACCUUCAGGAAGCUGCAGAUGAAGCUCGUGAAUACAAGACGCUUGUAAAGUCCAGCCUUGAAAUUCUCAGCAAAGUCCAUGAAGAGAACAUGAAAGUACUUCAUCCUGAACUUCAACAAAUGAAAAUGUCACAGGAUCCAUCAGUUUAUCAAACUUUUCUUGCAUUUGAAAGCCUUAAAAAAACAGUGAUGACUUACUUAGACCUAAAGGACAAAGUUUUUAGUGGAGGAGCAAAAGAUACUGCAAAAAAUCUGCAUUAUGUUUUGAAUGUUUUAAGAUCACAAGAACUUGAUGAUGGACUGUAAAAGUUUUGAUCUCUGUUGUGAUUUUUAUCUGUGCCUAGAAGCUUCAAAUUUAGUUUAGUCAUUCUUUCCCAUUGUUGGGGUGAU